UUCAUUUGCGACAGAGGGGGAACGAGACGUGCAUCGAAUACACAUUAUAUCUCUUUGUUUUUGUGAAAAGAAGAAAAAAUGAAAUCCAGCGACAUCAUGUGUAUUGCUUUUUUUCUCGCCGUUAUGUGCGAAACAUGUUAUGCAGGAUUAGCGUGUAGGAGGAGUGGAGGAAUUUGUACGAAAAGCUAUUGUCCAAAGGGGUAUCUUGAGGACCAUUUGCCACACGAAGACUGUUAUUAUACUGAAAGAUGUUGUCUUCCCUUGUGGCAUCAAAAGCCAUCCAAUUUUCCAAGUUACUAGGACUCGCUCAGCGUGAAAUGACAACGUCAAAGCUACGGUAUUAAUAAUUUAAUAAAGAAUAUAUAUGAUAUAACACUAUUUUCUUUAUCUGACAUUCAAUACAGUUAACAUCAUUGGACGAAACGAUUCAAAAAGAUAUU